rnacentral:rRNA from 1 species
GCCCGUCGCUCCUACCGAUUGGAUGACUCGGUGAAAUCACCGGAUGCUUACGAGCAGAAAGUGAUUAAAUCACGUUAUCUAGAGGAAGGAGAAGUCGUAACAAGGUAACGGUAGGUGAACCUGCCGUUGGAUCAGUUCUAGUUUUAAUAACUAACACCAACUUCUUUUAUUAAACAAAAACCAAUACAAAAUUAAAAACUAACUUCAUCAAAAACCAAGUCUCUAAGCAAUGGAUGUCUUGGCUCCUCACACGAUGAAGAACGUGGCAUAAUGUGUUAAGUAACCGGAGUGCAA